rnacentral:rRNA from 1 species
UACGAAUGGGGCAAGCGUUGUUCGGAAUCACUGGGCUUAAAGCGUGCGCAGGCGGUUCUGCAAGUCAGAAGUGAAAUCCCGGGGCUUAACCCCGGAAUUGCUUUUGAAACUGCAGAACUAGAAUAUGGGAGAGGUUAGCAGAAUUCCGAGUGUAGAGGUGAAAUUCGCAGAUAUUCGGAGGAAUACCAGUGGCGAAGGCGGCUAACUGGACCAUUAUUGACGCUCAGGCACGAAAGCGUGGGGAGCAAACAGG